CAGCCGCCGCGGGAAUACGAAGGGUGCAAGCGUUACUCGGAAUUACUGGGCGUAAAGCGUGCGUAGGUGGUGGUUUAAGUCCGUUGUGAAAGCCCUGGGCUCAACCUGGGAAUUGCAGUGGAUACUGGGUCACUAGAGUGUGGUAGAGGAUAGUGGAAUUUCCGGUGUAGCAGUGAAAUGCGUAGAGAUCGGAAGGAACAUCUGUGGCGAAGGCGACUAUCUGGGCCAACACUGACACUGAGGCACGAAAGCGUGGGGAGCAAACAGGAUUAGAUACCCCGGUAGUCCCUGUCUCUUAUAU
rnacentral:rRNA from 1 species